AGCCAAAAGUGGAGCUAACCUUGAGCAAAAAGCUAAGGGACAGUGGCCAGGCCCUGAGUUCAAGUAUUGACACAGUAAAUAGAUAAGUAAAUGGCUGAAUUAGCAUUUCCUUGCUGAAAACAGACCUAUCUAUAUAAAAGACCUUUUACCCAAAACUAAUUAGCUCUGUGUGUGUGUGUGUGUGUGUGUGUGUGUGUGUGUGU